rfam:Myotis lucifugus cont2.8793, whole genome shotgun sequence.
GGUGGUUCUCAGGUGACACACCCUGGAACCAGAGAGGAGGGGGCCUGAUUCCGGGGUGCGUCACCUGAGAACCACC